AAGUCGUAACAAGGUUUCCGUAGGUGAACCUGCGGAAGGAUCAUUAACACGUAUCCAACGUUAAAAACCCCGUGAACCUUUAAAACGCUGUGUCCCAGGACUAAAUCCAGUGGCCUUAGCAAUCCCUGUACUCGUGGGAGAAAUGUAAUGAGAAGGGACUUCUGAGGUUGGCUUUCUGGUUUCAGACCGCGUCGUAGUGACUUUUUUUCCCCAAGCAAUCCGUGAGUGAAAGUGUCAUUGGUUGCGUAAGGAUUUCGCCUAGCGAUCACUGGAGGUCGAUCACCGAUCGGUGGACUAAGUCACAGGGCUUCGGCUCCCUAAUAACCCCCAUUCAAUUUGCCGCUCCGCGCUAACAACGCCGGGCACUUAAAAACGUACUAAACAACUGUUAACAAUGGAUAUCUUGGUUCUC
rnacentral:misc_RNA from 1 species